rnacentral:rRNA from 1 species
UACAGAGGGUGCAAGCGUUAAUCGGAAUUACUGGGCGUAAAGCGUGCGUAGACGGUCAUGUAAGUCGGGUGUGAAAGCCCCGGGCUCAACCUGGGAAUUGCAUUCGAGACUGCAUGGCUAGGAUGCGGAAGAGGGAAGCGGAAUUUCCGGUGUAGCGGUGAAAUGCGUAGAUAUCAGGAGGAACACCGGUGGUGUAGACGGCUUUCUGGACCGUAACUGACGCUGAGACACGAAAGCGUGGGUAGCAAACAGG